GUGCCAGCAGCCGCGGUAAUACAGAGGGUGCAAGCGUUAAUCGGAAUUAUUGGGCGUAAAGGGCUUGUAGGUGGCUCUAUAAGUUAGAUGUGAAAACCCUGGGCUUAACCUGGGACGUGCAUUUAAUACUGUAGAGCUAGAGUAUGGUAGAGGAGUAGGGAAUUCCUGGUGUAGCAGUGAAAUGCGUAGAGAUCAGGAGGAACAUCAGUGGCGAAGGCGCUACUCUGGACUAAUACUGACACUGAGGAGCGAAGGCGUGGGGAGCAAACAGGAUUAGAUACCCUCGUAGUCC
rnacentral:rRNA from 1 species